GAUGAACGCUGGCGGCGUGCCUAAUACAUGCAAGUCGAGCGAACGGACGAGAAGCUUGCUUCUCUGAUGUUAGCGGCGGACGGGUGAGUAACACGUGGAUAACCUACCUAUAAGACUGGGAUAACUUCGGGAAACCGGAGCUAAUACCGGAUGAUAUUUUGAACCGCAUGGUUCAAAAGUGAAAGACGGUCUUGCUGUCACUUAUAGAUGGAUCCGCGCUGCAUUAGCUAGUUGGUAAGGUAACGGCUUACCAAGGCAACGAUGCAUAGCCGACCUGAGAGGGUGACGGCCACCACUGGAAUUGAACCACGGCCAAGACCCCGCGGGGAGCAACAGUGAGGGAACUUUCCGGAGGGGGCGAAGGCCGAACGAACCACCCCGGGGGGGGGAAUAAGGUUCUUAGUACCGUAAAACUUUUUUAUGAGGAAAAAAAAUAGGUGUAAGUAACUGUGCACCUCUUGAGGUAACCUAAUAAGAAACCCACGGCUAACUCCGUC
rnacentral:rRNA from 1 species